rnacentral:rRNA from 1 species
ACUGUGCUAAGGUAGCAUAAUCAUUUGUUAUUUAAUUGAUAACUAGAAUAAACGGUAUUACAAAAAUCAAGCUUUAAUUUUUUAUAUUAGAAAGUUUAUUUUUAAGUUAGAAAGCUUAACUUUACUAAAAAGACGAUAAGACCCUAGAAUCUUUCCAUUUUACUGGGGUAGUAGUGUUUUUUUUAACAAACUCUUUUUAAACUAUUUAGAUUUAUUUAUUCCUGAAUAGAAAAAAAGAUACUCUAGGGAUAACAGCGAUAUCUUUUUUCAGAGCCCUGAUCGACAAAAAAGAUUUCGACCUCGAUGUUGAAUUAUAGAAACUUAAAGAAGAAGAAUUCUUUAUAGUAGGUCUGUUCGCCCUUUAAUUCUAUACGUGAUCUGAG